ensembl:lncRNA
GAGAAGAAAAAAAUAUAGUAAGAGAGGAAGUGGGAGCUAUGGUGAGGCAGUUCAAACAACAGACAGGCAUUUAAGAAGGCAGCGGUUGCCAUGCGACAGCGCCAUACAGAGAGGUGAUGGCUGUGGUAAUGCUACCUGGCAUGCUGUUCAGUGAUUUAAUAAGCUCGCCCAGGCCAGCCAUAAAUCAUCAUCAGGCCAAGUUCUUGAAGCUUAAAGGAGAAACGCGGACAAAUACUAGAACCAGAGCAGACAUCUCUGUCCAAUCAAAUGAGGGCCCAACGUGGGUGUGACCUUUUCUCUUGGGGUGCCUUUUAUGGCUGCCAAGCUGCAUGGGACAGGGUGCCACAAAUGGGCAAGCUGUGCAGUUUUUAUCUGUACCAACAACAGAUAUUGAAUGGGAAUGGACACAGGAACAUUUUAUGGGCGAAAGGUUCAGGAUCAAGCAGUUAGGGCCGUUUGAAAGGAGUCAGGAAGAUUGGAUCCCCGCAACAGUUUUGCCAGACAGUUUGGAGAUCAGGGGAGAACGCGAGUCAGAUGACAGUGACAGUGAGUCUGUGGAUCAAGAUGAGGAUGAAGAUAUUAGAGUGUCCCCGCCGAGUGGAGGAAGGUGAUCUGCAUAUUGUCGCGUAACAGGAUGUCCCCUAUAGGGCAGGCUAGCAAGAGAGCUGAAAAACAG